rnacentral:rRNA from 1 species
AUUGAACGCUGGCGGCAGGCCUAACACAUGCAAGUCGAACGAGUGGCGGACGGGUGAGUAAUGUCUGGGAAACUGCCCGAUGGAGGGGGAUAACUACUGGAAACGGUAGCUAAUACCGCAUCCCAUCGGAUGUGCCCCGCUGGGAUUAGCUAGUAGGUGGGGUCACGGCUCACCUAGGCGACGCUCCCUAGCUGGUCUACGAGGAGGACCAGCCACACGGGGACUGAGACACGGUCCAGACUCCUACGGGAGGCAGCAGUGGGGAAUAUUGCACAAUGGGCGCAAGCCUGAUGCAGCCAUGCCGCGUGUAUGAAGAAGGCCUGCGGGUUGUAAAGUACGUUCAGCGAGGAGGCGUUACUCGCAGAAGAAGCACCGGCUAACUCCGUGCCAGCAGCCGCGGUAAGAC